UACGUAGGGGGCAAGCGUUGUCCGGAAUCAUUGGGCGUAAAGAGCGUGUAGGCGGUUCGGUAAGUCCGCUGUGAAAGUCCAGGGCUCAACCCUGGAAUGCCAGUGGAAACUGCCGAGCUAGAGUCCGGAAGAGGCGAGUGGAAUUCCUGGUGUAGCGGUGAAAUGCGCAGAUAUCAGGAGGAACACCAAUGGCGAAAGCAGCUCGCUGGGACGGUACUGACGCUGAGACGCGAAAGCGUGGGGAGCAAACAGG
rnacentral:rRNA from 1 species